rnacentral:rRNA from 1 species
GGUCUGUUCGCCCUUUAAAAUCUAACAUGAGCUGAGUUCAGAACGGCGUGAGCUAGUUCAGUUUCUAUCCUCUUUUAAAAAUAAGCUAAUUUUGUACGAAAGGACUUUUUCGCUAAAGUAAUGCUUUGGCCCAGCCCUAUAAUUACACAAAUAUUGGUACAUGACGAGCUGAUCAACUCAUAAAAAGGGCUG